rnacentral:other from 1 species
AAACCUCUGCCAUGUUCGAGACCGGGCGACAUUUUUGCUGAACCGAUAAGAACACCGCUGGGGGCUGCUGACGUGACGGCCGCGCGUAAGGCUCAGUCUUCGGUCGAGAGGAUCCCUCUCGUCGCGUCGAUUCCUGCUAACGCAACCCGUUCGGAAGUCCCCACUUUUUAACUGCGGGUUCUCAAAAUAGCCCGAACGGCAUUACGGUGGAGGUUUU